rnacentral:rRNA from 1 species
UACAGAGGGUGCGAGCGUUAAUCGGAGUUACUGGGCGUAAAGGGCGCGUAGGCGGUUAUAUAAGUGAGAUGUGAAAUCCCUGGGCUUAACCUAGGAACUGCAUCUCAUACUGUAUGACUGGAGUAUUGUAGAGGGUAGUGGAAUUUCCGGUGUAGCGGUGAAAUGCGUAGAGAUCGGAAGGAACACCAGUGGCGAAGGCGGCUACCUGGACAAAUACUGACGCUGAGGCGCGAGAGCGUGGGGGAGCAAACAGGA